rnacentral:lncRNA from 1 species
UGAGGCCUCCCCAGCCAUCCGGAACUGUGAGUCAAUUACACCUCUUUUGCUUUAUAAAUUACCGAGUCUCAGGUAGUCUCUUUAUAGCAGUGUGGGAACAGACUAAUACAGUAACUCAAAUAGGCAGAGUUAAAUGUGGAUCUGAGUUAUGGUUCCAGAUAUGUUUAACUAUUUGUGUGUUUGCAAUAAUUCUGCAAAGAAAGAUUUUUACGGCAUUGAAAUAUCCAACCCCACAGUUCCCUCUGCCCUAGCAGAGGUUCUCCAAGAGAGCCUUGCUCCUGUAGCAAACAUCUGCCUGGAAAUCCAGGCAUUUCCAUACAUCCUCUGAAAAGGGGCUGCCACAAUGGUCUCUGACAUGCCCUGGAGACAUUUUCCUCAUUGUCUUGGUUCAAGGGGUGAGAGUGGGCCACAUUUGGAACAAAUUGUUAACAAUAGGUGAUUCAUUAAACACACACACACACAUAAUUAAAACCUAUUUAACAAUUAUUUUAAAACAUUCUAAUGGAACAUAGAUCUUUGAGUGUCUUCUUUCUUAAA